UAGAAAUGAAUUCCAAUGACGAAGACUUACAGUUUUUUUAUUUGUUUUUUGGUAGAUAAAACAUUGUAUGACACUGUGCGUGAAGUACUUUUUGCGAACUUACGCGAUGUAUAGCACUCGCCAUACAUCGCGUACUCUAAAUUUAUCGCGUGCGUUUGCAAAAAGCAUACUUCACGAACUGUUUCAUAAAUAACUAUUAUUUAAGUCUAAAAGACUCACCUUUUAAUAUAUUUAAAUUUAUUUUUCAGAGGAAACUUGCGGAAUGACGAAAUAAUCUCAAAGAAUUUUUUUGAAUCAAUACAUGUACGUUAUCCUUCCACUGGUAAUCUAUUUACUUCAAAGAUUACGUGUAUACUGAUAACAGACCUUAACAAAGGCCCUAGCCAACCAGUUAUUACUGGAGGUGUUGGGUUUGAGUAUGUGGAAGUUGAUAUUACUCCUGGAUUACUAGAAAAAUUAAACUACCAAAUUCAAGUUUACACAGCACUACCAUGACCUACGUCCGAUUAAGUUCAUUUUUAGAAUAUGUUGUACAACAAUAUGGCGCAUUUUAUUUAUUCACUUUAAUAUUCAAAUUUGUCUAGAUUACACAAAAAAAGUAUAA
rnacentral:misc_RNA from 1 species